rnacentral:lncRNA from 10 species
GUUUUGUUAAAAGGUAUUUCCAGCCUGUCUUAAACCAAUCACAGGACUUCUCUCCUCUUGUGUCCAUCAAGGACACUUAGGUGCCUCCAGGUUUGGCUGUGUGUGGUUUCACACCAUCAUGCCAGCUGGCACGCGCGUGCACCCAGUGGUGCUGACACCUCCACAGUGAGCCAGGGAAACCUGCCUGCGGCUGCCACCGCCCCAACCCUGGUAUCCUGGGAGGUUCCUCACGGGCAGCUCGCCCGACCCAGGUGCAGUGAAGAGUCCCCUGUGACUGAGGAGGAGCAGUGACACAGCCAGGGCACAGUGUGAUUCCAGGACUCCCGGACCCCACCCCUGUGACCGAGGAGGAGCAGUGACACAGCCAGGACACAGUGAGACUCCAGGACUCCCCGACCCUGCCCCUGUGACAGAGGAGGAGCAGUGACACAGCCAGGACACGGUGUGACUCCAGGACCCUGCCCCUGUGACCGAGGAGGAGCAGUGACACAGCCAGGGCAUAGUGUGACUCCAGGACCCUGCCCCUGUGACCGAGGAGGAGCAGUGACACAGCCAGGACACAGUGUGACUCCAGGACUCCCGGACCCUGCCCCUGUGACCGAGGAGGAGCAGUGACACAGCCAGGACACAGUGAGACUCCAGGACUCCCCGACCCUGCCCCUGUGACAGAGGAGGAGCAGUGACACAGCCAGGGCAUAGGGUGACUCCAGGACCCUGCCCCUGUGACCGAGGAGGAGCAGUGACACAGCCAGGGCACAGUGUGACUCCAGGACCCUGCCCCUGUGACUGAGGAGGAGCAGUGACACAGCCAGGGCACAGUGUGACUCCAGGACUCCCGGACCCUGCCCCUGUGACUGAGGAGGAGCAGUGACACAGCCAGGGCAUAGUGUGACUCCAGGACCCUGCCCCUGUGACUGAGGAGGAGCAGUGACACAGCCAGGGCACAGUGUGACUCCAGGACUCCCGGACCCUGCCCCUGUGACUGAGGAGGAGCAGUGACACAGCCAGGGCAUAGUGUGACUCCAGGACUCCAGGACCCUCCCCCUGUGACAGAGGAGGAGCAGUGACACAGCCAGGGCACAGUGUGACUCCAGGACCCUGCCCCUGUGACUGAUCGCCUGGGUGCUUUUGCCCCACCAUCCUGACCACUGUCAUCAUGGACCAGUCAGUGGCACUGCUAUCCUCAGACAGGCUGGCCUGGGCUGAAUGGUGGCCUUCAAACUUGGUCAUCAUCCCAAAUAAAAUGACAGGCCCAGCCACACAACACUGAAAUAGAAAACAGGCAAACAAUAGAGACAAUCAACACAACAAAAAGCUGACUCUGAAAAGAUCAAUAAAUUUGAUACAACUCUACCUAUACUGAUUUUUUAAAAGAGAGAAGUGACAAAUUAUUAACAUGAGAAAUGAAAUAGGAAACAUCACUACAGAUCUGACAGACAUUAAAAGGACAAUAAAGAAAUAUGAUGACCAACUUUAUGCCAAUAAAUUUAGACAACUUAUAUAAAAUAAACAGAUUCCUUGAAAUAUAUAAAUUAUCUAAAUUAACUCAAAAAUAUUCCUAUAGUUAUUAAGAAAAUUGUGUGAGAGGUCUUCACUGGAGAAUUAUAUCAAACAUUUAAGAAAGAAGUAACACCAAUUCUGAAUAAACUCUUUCAGAAUAUAGAAGGGAAGGUAACAUUUCAAAAUUUAUUUGAUGAGACCAAAAUCAUCCUGAUACCCAAACCAGAAAAGAAAAACACAGACCAACAUCUCAAAUGAACAUAAACACAAAAUUCCUUAACAAAGCAUUAGCAAAUUGAACCUGCCAAUUUAUAUAAAGGAUACUAUACCAUAGCUAACUGUGCUUAUGCAAUUUUGGCUUAAGAUUUUUUAAAUCAAACAAUAUAAUUUACUAUAAUAGCAGAAUAGAG